ensembl:lncRNA
AGACCAUGAGGGGCUGUGCUGCUUUGAUUUGUCAUCAAAUGGACAGUCGAUCCACGCCUCCCUCCAGGAGAUCUGAGACCAGUUUCAUAAGAUCCAACAGGAGAUUGUCUCCUGGACUGGAUGGACAGUUUAUUUUCAAACUUUGGGUUAUCAGGGUGGGGGGCUUCUAUUAUUAAAUCCAUUAUUUGGUUUAUAUUAAUUUUCUUCCUUAUCAUAUUUGUUUUAAGUUGCUUUAAAAACUUUCUUAUUUCUCCAGUGACCUAGUCAGUUUUAAAACAAAAAAAGGGGGAGAUGUGGUGGUGCAAGUGGCUGUGGCCACCCUGACCCCUGAGGAUCAGCCGACACCAAGCUGUGGUGGUCAGACACCGAAGCUUAAUGCCUUGCUCUUGGUUAGGGUGAGAGCCCGUAAUCCUCCAGUUCCACAGCUUACAUAUUUUUGUAUGAUUGGUCCAUGUUUUCCCCUCCCUGUUUUAGGUAUAAGUGUAUGUAUAUUCAAUUCCCUCAAGUUAAUAUGUAUAAGUUCUAGAAAGUUCUGUAAUACUCGACACCCCAUUGGCUCCUUCCCUUAGUCCCGCCUAUGUGUCAAUCUCAUUGGUUCCCUUUCUCUCAACCCCGCCUCCUAUCCUGUAUCCUAUUGGCUGUAUCCCUUAUCCCUGCCUUUCCUAUCCCCACUAUAAAGACCCUGGAAACCCUCAGGCCGUUGGCUCUUUGUCCCUACCCUUUCACUUGAAUAAGCUGUCUGUGUGGAACCUGUUCCAGGAGUUCCUUCUCUCUGCUUCCUCGUCUCCACCUGCAUGCCCUCACACCCUACUCAGAGACAGCUCCCUCGGGUGAGGAGCUCGUUCUUUUCUGGCCUGUUUGUGAGAAGCCACUGUAAACCAGUUGGGUUGCAGUUAGACCUCCAGUCUUCUCUUUGAGCUAGCACGUGACAUGAUAAAUGGCACCCAAACAGGGAUAGGGACUCUUCUAGGAGGAUUCCCUGACCUACCUACGCCAGUUCUGAAACACCCAGGACACGUGCCUCGGGAAAGCCACUUCGCUCCUGUCGCAGCACACUGCUUUUUGGUCAGUGGUGCUCCAGGAGGCAACGGUCUCAGCUCGAGACCUUCAGCGGAGGACUUGGGCAGCAGUUUUUUGUUUCCAGGACAUACUUUUGUGUGGACAGGAGGCACCUGGAAGGUUCUGCGUGCUGUCCACCAGCCCAACCUGGAUGCCUUGGAUCAUCAGAUGUCAGUACCUGCAAGUGAGCUCAUGAAUGUCUGGGAAUUUCUGAGCUGUCGUGGUUCCCUCUGGAGUCAGCAAGGAGAGAGAGCUGGGAGGACUUUGUUUUGGGAGAGUUACAGACCUCUAAGAUAUGGGAAGAAAGAAAAAAAAAUGACAGCUACAUGA